AGAUUGUGACAAGAGUUUUAACAUUGUGGUAACAAGAAAGAAAAGACCAGAGACAGACUUUUAUUUUGGAAAAAAAAGCAACAAAAACUGUCAAAGUUUUGUUGGUUUUGAAAUCAUGAUAACCUUUCACUUUAUUUCCAAAACCAUUGAGGAAAAGCUGGCAGGGAUCAUUGGGGAAUCCCUCCUGAGCGGUGUGGUGACCGAGGCAGAGGGGGACAUACAAGCACCAAAUGUUCCAGGAUGAAGAUAAACGUAUUCGCUUGUUUAAAAUAGUAAAAAUGAACUUGUACAGUAGGAACACAUUUGGAACAUAAUUCACAAUAAUUUACUUUAUUCAAGACUAAAUGAUAUUCUUUUCAGUUCCUGGGUGUUCCAGUUGGUUCGGUGGUACUGCAGCUGUGCCAGGAGAGAGUGAGGCCGGUG